rnacentral:sRNA from 1 species
UUUAAGCUGGAAAGAGCACCAACUUUCGAUCUCCACUGACUGGAGGUCUGCCCUGAAACCAGUUUACGGGACGCGAUCAAAAUGAUUUGCUCCCUCGUUUUUAAUGCCUUGCUUUUUUUCUUGAUUUCCUUUUGCACAUUGCCUUGGAUUGGGCCAAUGAACUGACGGGAGUAGCAGCAGCGGACGUUGCAUCCGACAAUGCCGAGAUCUUUGAGGCUGUGUGGAGAAGCAGAGAGCGAGAGGGAUAGAGGACAGGGCCGUCUGGUAGUAUGCGUAGAGGACGUAUACUAUAUGGGAGAUCGUCCGUUCGAACGCGUUGCAUUUAUUUUUGGGCGAUGCCCCGACAACGAUGUGGAGAUGGGGGCAUGCUGUCGCCUUUUUAUGGCAACUUUUUUGCAUUGGAAUUUUUGUUGUUGCUGCUGUUGUUAUUGCCGGCUGCAAUUUCCGAGUUUCUGGAGUCAGGUCGUCGACGUAUGCGUAAGACAAUGAUUCUGGGCGCUUGUUACAAUGAGGAUUUACAGAGGACAAUAGUGCGUCUAACUCCAGCAGGGCCCCCACUUCCACCCAGUUCGGGAUUGGAGUGUGCUCCGUACUGCACUGGGAUCCGAUGCGAUGCUUUGCUUAGGCUGUCACCUUGACUUUAAGGAGUCGAGUCGUCUUUAUAUCGCACUGUGGAUGUAGUGCGUAAACUCUGAAUGCGUGGAGGGGUGAUGUGAGUAACGGAGCCCGAGCCAGAGCCAGUGCCCGGCCCUUAUUCUCCACUGAAUCAAACUAGUUGGACCAGUUGGAAAUGUACGACAAAUAUACGUUGAAUUUACUCGCAUAUAAAAGGAAGUCGCUGUUCGUUUUUUUGGAUGCCGCUGCUGGUAGCCGUCGUUGGCUUUUGGUUUUGUGGGCGUUGCUGGAACUCUAUAAAAUCGAAUUUUUAACGUUCAAAUGGUAACAGAGCCACAGAAGAAAUAAGCUGUGCGGCAGGGUGUGUGUUUUUUUGGCGCCGCACAGUUUUGUUUUCGUCAUCUGUUAUUGAUUUUUGCGACAUGUUAAUGCUGAAUGCCUGCUGCUAGUUAACAGGCGCCCACCCCAUGAAAUGGCAUUAUUAGGAUUGCCAAAAUCAUAGCAAGACGAUUAACGCUGAGAGAGGUACUUUCGGUUCAUUCUUCAGGCGUCAGUCUCUAC